rnacentral:rRNA from 1 species
UACGGGGGGGGCAAGCGUUGUUCGGAAUUACUGGGCGUAAAGGGCUCGUAGGCGGCCAACUAAGUCAGACGUGAAAUCCCUCGGCUUAACCGGGGAACUGCGUCUGAUACUGGAUGGCUAGAGGUUGGGAGAGGGAUGCGGAAUUCCAGGUGUAGCGGUGAAAUGCGUAGAUAUCUGGAGGAACACCGGUGGCGAAGGCGGCAUCCUGGACCUCUCCUGACGCUGAGGCGCGAAAGCGUGGGGAUCAAACAGG